GUGCUCGCUUCGGCAGCACAUAUACUAAAAUUGGAACGAUACAGAGAAGAUUAACAUGGCCCCUGUGCAAGAAUUACUGGUCUUUUUAGGAUCUACAACUUUCAGUA
rnacentral:snRNA from 1 species